rnacentral:rRNA from 1 species
GACGUAGGAGGCGAGCGUUGUCCGGAGUUACUGGGCGUAAAGGGUGCGCAGGCGGCCGUCUGUAGUGUCGGGUGAAAGCCCCUGGCUCAACUGGGGGAGGGUCCGGCAAACGGGGCGGCUGGAGGCUCGGAGAGGGACGUGGAAUUCCGGGUGGAGCGGUGAAAUGCGUAGAGAUCCGGAAGAACACCCACGGCGAAGGCAGCGUCCUGGCCGAGUACUGACGCUCAGGCACGAAAGCGCGGGGA